UCGAGAAUCUUCCGCAAUGGACGAAAGUCUGACGGAGCGACGCCGCGUGCGGGAUGAAGGCCUUCGGGUUGUAAACCGCUGUCAGAGGGGAGGAAAUUUUGACCGAUCCUCAGAGGAAGCACAGGCUAAGUUCGUGCCAGCAGCCGCGGUAAUACGAACUGUGCGAACGUUAUUCGGAAUCACUGGGCUUAAAGGGUGCGUAGGCGGCUAUGAAGGUCAGGUGUGAAAUCCCACGGCUCAACCGUGGAACUGCGCUUGAAACCGCAUAGCUUGAGGGAGUCAGAGGUAAGCGGAACUGAUGGUGGAGCGGUGAAAUGCGUUGAUAUCAUCAGGAACACCGGUGGCGAAAGCGGCUUACUGGGACUCUUCUGACGCUGAGGCACGAAAGCCAGGGGAGCGAACGGGAUUAGAUACCCCCGUAGUCC
rnacentral:rRNA from 1 species